rnacentral:rRNA from 1 species
UGGGGAAUAUUGCACAAUGGGGGAAACCCUGAUGCAGCGACGCCGCGUGAGCGAAGAAGGUUUUCGAAUCGUAAAGCUCUGUCCUAUGAGAAGAUAAUGACGGUAUCAUAGGAGGAAGCCCCGGCUAAAUACGUGCCAGCAGCCGCGGUAAUACGUAUGGGGCGAGCGUUGUCCGGAAUUAUUGGGCGUAAAGGGUACGUAGGCGGUCUAUUAAGUCAGGUGUGAAAGCGUGAGGCUUAACCUCAUUAAGCACUUGAACUGAUAGACUUGAGUGAAGGAGAGGAAAGUGGAAUUCCUAGUGUAGCGGUGAAAUGCGUAGAUAUUAGGAGGAAUACCGGUGGCGAAGGCGACUUUCUGGACUUUUACUGACGCUCAGGUACGAAAGCGUGGGGAGCAAACAGG